UACGUAGGUGACCAGCGUUGUCCGGAUUUACUGGGCGUAAAGGGUGCGUAGGUGGCGAUGAAAGUUCGAUGUGAAAUCUCCGGGCUUAACCCGGAAAAGGCAUUGAAGACUAUGUUGCUUGAGGUUUGGAGGGGGGACUGGAAUUCUUGGUGUAGCAGUGAAAUGCGUAGAUAUCAAGAGGAACACCAGUGGCGAAGGCGGGUCCCUGGACAACACCUGACACUGAGGCACGAAAGCUAGGGGAGCAAACAGG
rnacentral:rRNA from 1 species